UCACUGCUAAUUCUGAUAUUACAAAACAUCCAUUACCCUGGAGCUUUGUCUAGCAAAAGAAGGUAAGUCAUUGUAUCUAAUGUUGUAUCAUAGAAACGUAGAGGAGCAUUUGGCUAAACAAUGUCUAAAUGUUUUAAUCACGAGUGCUGCAUAAAGAAAAGGGUAGAGAUAUUAUCUGUAAGUGAGUGAGGCAUGUAGCUGUCCACUCCUUGUGAGGGCAAUGGGGAUUGGAAGGAUUAACCUGGUUUUAAGGCUGUGCAUUCCAGGAGAGAGUUCAGACACACCUGAAAGAGGGAACACCAGUGCAAAACAAGGAACUUGCCAUGAAGGGCUGCGUGAGAUGGCUCCUGCUCAAGGCAGGCAUUCUGCCACCCUGCAAAGUCCAUCAGAUGAGACUGAAAUGGUGAAACCCUACAGCUUUCAGAGAUCUAGGAAGGAGCACCAUGACUGAACAGGCCUGGCUGAAACACUUCAUGGCAGUGAUGCUGAUGGCGGUUGGCUGCUCAUAGAACAAGAGGAUGGGUGUUCUCCUGGCUUUGUGAGCUGUGAGAGGAGAGAAGCUGCUGGCUGGAGCUCGAUGGUGAGAGCAUGGUGUGGCUGCACACCCGCCUAUCGGCCUCAUCAGCGUUGAUGCUGUGGACCCACAUCAGUGGUUUCUUGAGCUUUGAGAAAAACCCAGUUCUUGUUCUUAGGUAAAUACAAGAACCCUUCUGUUUCAGAGCAGCGUGCAGCCAUGUGCACACUGUGUGUGCCAGAACAGACCCUUUCAAGAGCUCCAGAAGACUUUUUUAGCCUCUUUGUUUCAUCUGCAAGACCAAAAAGGAAAGAGAGGUUUCUGCAACUGGGAAGCAGGAGAAGAGAGCGGAGUGACAAGACUUCACCUGUACCGUAGCUGAUGGUGGGCUCACAGACCAGAACACACACAGCCUAUUGCACAGAUCGGCUUUCCUGGCAGCCCCGGGCAGCACUUGCAGGGACAGAGGUAUGGGACGCCUAAAAAAAGUUACUGAAAGAGACUAAAAGACAAGGACAGCUGGAAAAAAC